UUCGGUCAAGUUGAACGGAUGACUUAGUGGCGGACGGGUGAGUAACGCGUGAGGAACCUGCCUUGUACUGGGGGACAACAGUUAGAAAUGACUGCUAAUACCGCAUAAGCGCACAGUGCUGCAUGGCACAGUGUGAAAAACUCCGGUGGUAUGAGAUGGACCCGCGUCUGAUUAGCUGGUUGGUGGGGUAACGGCCUACCAAGGCGACGAUCAGUAGCCGGCCUGAGAGGGUGAACGGCCACAUUGGGACUGAGACACGGCCCAGACUCC
rnacentral:rRNA from 1 species